GAGUUGGGUAGGAUUAAGGAUUUAAAAUAAGACAUUAAUAUGUGCUUUUAAUGUAAUAAUGAACAGCCAAUAUCCCAGUAAUAUUCAUUCUAAUUACCAACUCGUUGGUACUAAAUUAGACACUAAACUGAAUACACUACACCAAAGUAUUAAAUGUGAAAAGGGUACAUAAAAGAUUUUAAGCUUAGACUUUACAUUUUGAUGUUAAAUCCACUAUUGUCUUGUAUAUAAAUGUUCUACAAUCUAUACACAGUAAGAUCAGUUACAUAAGAAGUAACUCUCAUUCAAUUACAGUAACUAAUUACACCCAAGACUGAUUGUGGCCUAUUUUUACGGAUAGUUUUGCAGUGUAGACUGAAAGAAGAGAAGAGGUGCAGUAGUCUCCAGCUGGAAGGACAGCAGAUCUGAGCUGUGUUAGAGAGUACAGUAUCCACACCUGACCUCCUGACCUCCUGACCUCCUGACCUCCUGACCUCCUGACCCCGCCACAGGAUCUUCUAAGAAAUACUUCAUCUGACUUUACAUCUGUUAAAGUGGAGAUGAAAUAUAUCUGAGCGUAAUGGAGUAUCAGAAACAAUAAAUAGGGCGGAGCCUGGAUCUGUGUAUCGGAUGUUGAUUGGAUAUUGAGAUGUGGGAAUGGAUCUCAGAUGAGGGGCGGAGUCUCAGAGCUAAAUGAUUGGAGAAAUCCUGCACGUCACCAGACAGAAGAUCCAGAUCGGUCAAGUGCAGGUCAGCUGUAAAAGACUCUUUUGAUUGUCCAGCACAGUUCUGGUCCUGAUGAGGCUGUGGAUGAGGAAGACUCUGCUCAGAUCAUCCAUCACUCAUCACUCAGUCUUCUCUCUCCUUCUGAAACACAGUGACAUUCACAGGUGACUAACUACUAACCUUAACCAUAGCUAGUACUGUCUAGUACACAGACUCACACACAGCAGCUGUUACUGAGGGGUGUGUGUGUGUGUGUGUGUGUGUGUGUGUGGUCAGAUUACAGUGCUAUAAUCGUAUCACAGCUCCUCGUUCUCAAACAGCUGAAAGUCUUUCUCUUUCUUAUACUCUUUUCUUUUUA